GUCUACGGCCAUACCACCCUGAAUGCACCCAAUCUCGUCUGAUCUCAGAAGCUAAGCAGGGUCGGGCCUGGUUAGUACUUGGAUGGGAGGCCGCCUGGGAAUAUCAGGUGCUGUAGGCU